AUACGGAGGGUGCGAGCGUUAAUCGGAAUUACUGAGCGUAAAGCGUACGUAGGCGGUUGGUUAAGUUAGAUGUGAAAGCCCCGGGCUUAACCUGGGAACUGCAUUUAAAACUGGCGAACUAGAGUUGAGUAGAGGGGAGUGGAAUUUCAGGUGUAGCGGUGAAAUGCGUAGAGAUCUGAAGGAACACCAGUGGCGAAGGCGACUCCCUGGACUCGAACUGACGCUGAGGUACGAAAGCGUGGGUAGCAAACGGGAUUAGAAACCCUAGUAGUCC
rnacentral:rRNA from 1 species